UAUUUGUGGGUGCAUGAUUUCUCUGUGUGUCUCUCUGUCUCUCUCACAAACUCACACACAAAAUACACACAGGAGCAAGAGCAUUCUCUCCUGUUGUGUGUGUGUGUGUUUCCUUGUGUGUCUCUGUCAUGUCUCUCUCACAGGCUCACAGAGGCAUGAGAGCAUGCGCUGUCUAUCUCUGUUUCUCUCACACAACACACACACACACACACACACACACACACACACACACUCCCUCAUUCACGUCACCACCACCACUGGCACCCAGGAAAGCAUGAGUCUUCCCAGCUCCCCACGCAGCCUGCUGAGCCAUUUUCUGAGUAGGCUCCCCCUUCCCACCCCCCACCCCACUCGGCAACAUUUCCAAAGGAGAGAAUGAAGAAUACAUGCUCAUUCAUAACGCCCUGCCACAAAUACUCUACAUGGAGCCUGUGCCAGUCCCUGGGGAUGCAGGCAUCUAGAAGACAGAGGAAUAUGAGCUGCCUUCCAGCUUCUCCUGGGGAGCAGAGAGCCUGGACUGGAAACUGUACCCUACUCCACCCCCAGCCUCUCCAUGAUUGUGCCCCAGCCCCUGGACUACUGUGAACCUGGGGUUCUGCAGAGCCUCAACUCCCACUGCCACGUGGCACGUGAAAAUCAAGAGCACCUUGUCUCUAGGGCAGCAUCCCUCAAUGGUUGGAAACCCCUUUGACUCUUUGGUAUUGGUCCUGCCUGAGCAGCCAGGGCUCACAAAAGGAUGACAGCCUCGGGGUGGACAGAAGAUAUGAAGAAGCAUGUCGUUCUGGCAGCUCUAAUGCACUGCUGACCACCUGCCACCUGAGGGCAUGGAGAAGAUGGACCUGGGAACAAAGCUGACUUGGCGGCAGGAUCAUAGAGGCUAAAGUGUAACCACUGUGCACUUGAUUUCCUUUCUGAAGUUGGAAUUUUGGAAACUCUCCAGAUGGCAGUUUCCUUCAGGACGGUCCCUUUGCCCAAACCCUGCUUCGAAACCAACAGCAAAGAGUGAUCAGGACUGAGGGUUUUGUCACAGCUUCCCCCAUAUUCUUUUUUCUCGGAAUCUCACUGGGACACAUCUGGACACACUUCACAAAAGGUCAUGCUUUGCUGCGGUGCAAAUGCACUGGGUGCCUCUUGAUGCUGCCAUGUCAUCCUUGCCGCAAUAUCACCGAUGUCUAAGACUAUGAAGUGACAGUUCAUGGCUUACCAAAGUAAAAUACGGGUGCCUUGUCCGUCCUGAUCAUUCAGAGGGCCGCUGUCCUCAUAGAUCCUUGAAUAUAACCUUCUUUUAUAAGG